AAACUGUCAGAAUACAGAGGUUCUGUUGUAACUAAGGAAGAUGAUGUAGAAAUGACAGAAUACAGAGGCUCUGUUGUAACUCAUAAAUAUAACAAAAGACGGACAAAAGACGGACCCAAGGUACCAACUGAUGACAGACUUACGACCGUGAUAACAGACCUCUGUUUGGCCCAAUGAUGACAGACUAAUGACCGUGAUAACAGACCUCUGUUUGGCCCAAUGAUGACAGACUGUCAUCAACGACCGUGAUGACAGAACUCUGUUUGGCCCAAUGAUGACAGACUAACGACCGUGAUGACAGAACUCUGUUUGGCCCAAUGAUGACAGACUAACGACCGUGAUGACAGAACUCUGUUUGGCCCAAUGAUGACAGACACGACCGUGAUGAGAGAACUCUGUUUGGUCCAAUGAUGACAGACUAACGACCGUGACAACAGAACUCUGUUUGGCCCACUGAUGACAGACUAACGACUGUGAUGACAGAACUCUGUUUGGUCCAAUGAUGACAGACUAACGAUCGUGACAACAGAACUCUGUUUGGCCCACUGAUGACAGACUAACGACUGUGAUGACAGAACUCUGUUUGGUCCAAUGAUGACAGACUAACGACCGUGACAACAGACCUCUGUUAGGCCCACUGAUGACAGACUAACGACCGUGAUGACAGAACUCUGUUUGGCCCAAUGAUGACAGACUAACGACCGUGACAACAGAACUCUGUUUGGCCCAAUGAUGACAGACUAACGACCGUGAUGACAGAACUCUGUUUGGCCCAAUGAUGACAGACUAACGACCGUGACAACAGAACUCUGUUUGGCCCAAUGAUGACAGACUAACGACCGUGAUGACAGAACUCUGUUUGGCCCAAUGAUGGGGUUGUUGAUAGCAUCAUAAAACAGACAUAUGAAGAUGAACAUGGUUGUCAAUGGCGACAGGUUGUGACAAGGUUCAACAAUACUUAAGUGUAAUGGAUAAGACAAUGGUUUUGUAAUUGCACAGUUAAAAGCCCAGACUAGAGUGUCAAGGAGGUGAGGAACAUCUACAAUCCAAACUUAAAGGAUUGAGUGAUUUGUAGAAACAAGCAUAACCAUGGAAACUAACAACAGGUAUGGGACUUGGAUUGGAUGUAGCCAUAGUUACCAGCUAGGAUGAUAAUACUUUGAAAAUUUACAGAAGGACAGAAGA